AGAGUUUGAUCCUGGCUCAGGAUGAACGCUAGCUACAGGCUUAACACAUGCAAGUCGAGGGGAAACGACAGUCGAAAGCUUGCUUUUGAUGGGCGUCGACCGGCGCACGGGUGAGUAACGCGUAUCCAACCUGCCCACCACUUGGGGAUAACCUUGCGAAAGUAAGACUAAUACCCAAUGAUAUCCUCUAGAAGUACAUCUGAAAGAGAUUAAAGAUUUAUCGGUGAUGGAUGGGGAUGCGUCUGAUUAGCUUGUUGGCGGGUAACGGCCCACCAAGGCAACGAUCAGUAGGGGUUCUGAGAGGAAGGUCCCCCACAUUGGAACUGAGACACGGUCCAAACUCCUACGGGAGGCAGCA
rnacentral:rRNA from 1 species